rnacentral:rRNA from 1 species
AGAACGAACGCUGGCGGCAUGCCUAAUACAUGCAAGUCGAACGAGAUCUUCGGGUCUAGUGGCGCACGGGUGCGUAACGCGUGGGAAUCUACCCUUGGGUUCGGAAUAACAGUUGGAAACGACUGCUAAUACCGGAUGAUGACGAAAGUCCAAAGAUUUAUCGCCCAGGGAUGAGCCCGCGUAGGAUUAGCUAGUUGGUGAGGUAAAGGCUCACCAAGGCUACGAUCCUUAGCUGGUCUGAGAGGAUGAUCAGCCACACUGGGACUGAGACACGGCCCAGACUCCUACGGGAGGCAGCAGUAGGGAAUAUUGGACAAGUGGGGCAACCCUGACUCCAGCAAUGACCGCGUGAGUGAUGAAGGUCCUUAGGUGUAAAGCUACGUUUACCGAGAUGAUAAUGACUAGUA